rnacentral:rRNA from 1 species
UACGUAGGGACCAAGCGUUGUUCGGAUUUACUGGGCGUAAAGGGUGCGUAGGCGGUCGGGUAAGUCUGAUGUGAAAUCUCACAGCUUAACUGUGAAACUGCAUUGGAUACUAUCCGGCUAGAGGAAUGGAGGGGAGACUGGAAUACUUGGUGUAGCAGUGAAAUGCGUAGAUAUCAAGUGGAACACCAGUGGCGAAGGCGAGUCUCUGGACAUUUCCUGACGCUGAGGCACGAAAGCCAGGGGAGCAAACGGG